CCUGGCUCAGAUUGAACGCUGGCGGCAGGCCUAACACAUGCAAGUCGAGCGGAUGAAGAGAGCUUGCUCUCUGAUUCAGCGGCGGACGGGUGAGUAAUGCCUAGGAAUCUGCCUGGUAGUGGGGGACAACGUCUCGAAAGGGACGCUAAUACCGCAUACGUCCUACGGGAGAAAGCAGGGGACCUUCGGGCCUUGCGCUAUCAGAUGAGCCUAGGUCGGAUUAGCUAGUUGGUGAGGUAAUGGCUCACCAAGGCGACGAUCCGUAACUGGUCUGAGAGGAUGAUCAGUCACACUGGAACUGAGACACGGUCCAGACUCCUACGGGAGGCAGCAGUGGGGAAUAUUGGACAAUGGGCGAAAGCCUGAUCCAGCCAUGCCGCGUGUGUGAAGAAGGUCUUCGGAUUGUAAAGCACUUUAAGUUGGGAGGAAGGGCAGUAACUUAAUACGUUGCUGUUUUGACGUUACCGACAGAAUAAGC
rnacentral:rRNA from 1 species